GAGGAAUUUUGCGCAAUGGGGGAAACCCUGACGCAGCAACGCCGCGUGAGUGAUGAAGGCCUUCGGGUCGUAAAGCUCUGUCAAGUGGGAAGAAUCUGUCCGGUGAUAAUACCGCUGGGCAAUGACGGUACCGCUGAAGGAAGCACCGGCUAACUCCGUGCCAGCAGCCGCGGUAAUACGGGGGGUGCUGGCGUUAUUCGGAAUCAUUGGGCGUAAAGGGCGCGUAGGCGGUCUUUUAAGUCAGAUGUGAAAGCCCUCGGCUUAACUGAGGAAGUGCAUUUGAUACUAAAAGACUUGAGUAUGGGAGAGGGAAGCGGAAUUCCUGGUGUAGCGGUGAAAUGCGUAGAUAUCAGGAGGAACACCGGUGGCGAAGGCGGCUUCCUGGACCAAGACUGACGCUGAGGCGCGAAGGCGUGGGGAGCAAAC
rnacentral:rRNA from 1 species